UACAGAGGGUGCAAGCGUUAAUCGGAGUUACUGGGCGUAAAGGGCGCGUAGGCGGUUACUUAAGUGAGAUGUGAAAUCCCUGGGCUUAACCUAGGAACUGCAUCUCAUACUGAGUGACUGGAGUAUUGUAGAGGGUAGUGGAAUUUCCGGUGUAGCGGUGAAAUGCGUAGAGAUGUGGAGGAACACCGAUGGCGAAGGCAGCCUUCUGGGCCAACACUGACGCUCAUGCACGAAAGCGUGGGGAGCAAACAGG
rnacentral:rRNA from 1 species